CAGCAGCCGCGGGAAUACAGAGGGUGCGAGCGUUAAUCGGAAUUACUGGGCGUAAAGCGCACGCAGGCAGUCUGUCAAGUCAGAUGUGAAAUCCCCGGGCUUAACCUGGGAACUGCAUUUGAAACUGGCAGGCUAGAGUCUUGUAGAGGGGGGUAGAAUUCCAGGUGUAGCGGUGAAAUGCGUAGAGAUCUGGAGGAAUACCGGUGGCGAAGGCGGCCCCCUGGACAAAGACUGACGCUCAGGUGCGAAAGCGUGGGGAGCAAACAGGAUUAGAUACCCGAGUAGUCCCUGUCUCUUAUAC
rnacentral:rRNA from 1 species